GUGUUUCCCUUUGUUUGCUGCAGCAUAUUGAUCUGCAUGUGUUACUGCCUGUAGAUAUAUCAGCUGAAGUUGGCUGUAUCAUCGGAUGCAUUAUUUGAAGAGAGCACCAGGGGCACACACCUCCUCCAAGACGCCUUGUGAUUUGCUGAGGUGCCAUAACAACCUGGGACAGGAAGGAAAGAACUGCGGCGCUUGUGAAUAGGGAUCCUUCAGCGGUGGGGGACCGGUGGGGCGGGGCGGGCGUCCGGAUGCCCCGAUCGAUGACUGCCAUCUUUUACACUGCAGGAGGGCAGGGCCCACAGUGACCAAGACCGUGAGAGCGAAAUUACAGCUAUUUGCACGCAAGAGAGCAAUGGCAGGAGGAGGUUGGAGGGAGGCGUGUUGAGAGAGACGGAGGCCGGGGAGAGAGGCCCCUCCUGGAAAAAUCAAUGCUAAUGACUGCAAAACAAAAACUGCGGUGCCCAUCAUGGAGUGGAAAACGAAAUGCUGCUCACAGUGACCUCCAAGUGACUGCUGGAAGGCUCUAAGCCUGACUCCUUCACCUGGCAGAACCGUGAAGCAAGUAAACAAACAGUGCAGACGCUGGAGGGUUGAUCAGAGGGAGAAUUCAAAUGAAUGUUCUACAGACAGCGCAUAAAAAGGUAUGCUUGAAAUUAGCUUCUGGUGAGGUGUUAUUUUUACUGAUACUCUAAAGGAGCUCACCACAAAAUUUUACAUGUGGAGAUCAGUUUACCAGUCAGGAACAGUACUACUAAGCAUAGAAAAACCAAAUGAUGAAUGAUUUGGCCUCCGGGGAGGCUUAUAUCAAGUCUGAGUAAAUAACCCUAAUGACAUCAUCAGGGUUGUCUUAGCUUGAGCUUGGAUUAAAAAUUCAUAACAGAAAGCCUGUGUUAGCGUUUGGAUGAGUGGCAUUUGAAAGAUACAGGUACACAGGGUGUUAAGCUGCUUUCAUGUCAUAUCUGAGUUUUCAUAAU